rnacentral:tRNA from 1 species
GGGGGCUUAGCUCAUCUGGUAGAGCGCCUGCCUUGCAAGCAGGAGGUGGCGGGUUCGAGCCCCGCAGCUUCCAC